rnacentral:rRNA from 1 species
UGUAAGCGUAUACCAAAGUUGUUGCAGUUAAAACGCUCGUAGUCGGAAUUUGGCAGUUCCGGAAGUGUGCACGUCGUGUGCGCACUUUGCGGGGACUGCUUUUGUGGUCUUGCGUAGGAUGAGGCACUUUCAUUAGUGAACGUCCUCACGCAACCACUCUUUACUGUGAGAAAAUCAGAGUGCUCAAAGCAGGCAUUUGCCGUGAAUGUAUUAGCAUGGAAUAAUAGAGUAGGACUCGGUUCUAUUUUGUUGGUUUGUUGGGACUGAGUAAUGAUUAAGAGGGACAGUUGGGGGCAUUUGUAUUCCGGCGCUAGAGGUGAAAUUCUUAGAUUGCCGGAAGACAAACUGCUGCGAAAGCGUCUGCCAAGGAUGUUUUCAUUGA